AAGUGUAAACAAAUCUACAAUUUCGUCAUGUUCGGAGACGAAAUUCGACAUCAGCGCCAACGUAGACCAUCUUGUAAUUUUCAACCAUCAACUGUACUCGUCUGUAUCUUUCACAUAAUAAAAUAUCACGUUGGCGCUCAUGUCAAAAAUUUGAAAAAUAAUCCGAUUGUUUACAAUUUUGACAAGUCAUUUUUUAAAAUACGUCAAAGGGAACGGCACGGGUACGAAAUUAUUCCGGGAUCCACAAUUGAUCAGCAUGUCACGUACGGAUUGUUUUACGUCGUAUCCAGUCAUCAAGACAUGUCACUCUCUUAAAAAAAAUAUGUUGUACGUGAAAUUAGACCUGCAAUGAUCAAAAUAUUCUAACACUACACAGACACAUACAGAGUUGUAUCCCUUGAAAUAUGGUGAAUUAAUUUUUAUUCAAUAUUAUUUUCAAGUAUUCAACGAUCUCUUACAAAUGAAUUUUAUAAUAAUUUCUCAAUACAUUCA
rnacentral:lncRNA from 1 species